rnacentral:rRNA from 1 species
AGAGUUCGAUCAUGGCUCAGGACGAACGCUGGCGGCGCGCCUAACACAUGCAAGUCGAACGGAGCUUGUUUGUUUGAUCCUUUCGGGGUGACGACUUAUAAGCUUAGUGGCGAACGGGUGAGUAACACGUGAGUAACCUGCCCCAGAGUGGGGGACAACAGUUGGAAACGACUGCUAAUACCGCAUAAGCCCACGGAACCGCAUGGUUCUGGGGGAAAAGGAGCAAUUCGCUUUGGGAUGGACUCGCGUCCGAUUAGCUAGAUGGUGAGGUAACGGCCCACCAUGGCGACGAUCGGUAGCCGGACUGAGAGGUUGAUCGGCCACAUUGGGACUGAGACACGGCCCAG